rnacentral:rRNA from 1 species
ACAAGCGGUGGAUGAUGUGUUUAAUUCGAUGCAACGCGAAAAACCUUACCCACCUUUGACAUGUACGGAAUCCUUUAGAGAUAGAGGAGUGCUCGAAAGAGAGCCGUGACACAGGUGCUGCAUGGCUGUCGUCAGCUCGUGUCGUGAGAUGUUGGGUUAAGUCCCGCAACGAGCGCAACCCUUGUCAUUAGUUGCUACAUUCAGUUGGGCACUCUAAUGAGACUGCCGGUGACAAACCGGAGGAAGGUGGGGAUGACGUCAAGUCCUCAUGGCCCUUAUAGGUGGGGCUACACACGUCAUACAAUGGAUGGUACAAAGGGUCGCCAACCCGCGAGGGGGAGCCAAUCCCAUAAAGCCAUUCGUAGUCCGGAUCGCAGUCUGCAACUCGACUGCGUGAAGUCGGAAUCGCUAGUAAUCGUGGAUCAGAAUGUCACGGUGAAUACGUUCCCGGGUCUU